UACGUAGGGCGCAAGCGUUGUCCGGAAUUAUUGGGCGUAAAGAGCUCGUAGGCGGCUUGUCACGUCGGGUGUGAAAGCCCGGGGCUUAACCCCGGGUCUGCAUUCGAUACGGGCUAGCUAGAGUGUGGUAGGGGAGAUCGGAAUUCCUGGUGUAGCGGUGAAAUGCGCAGAUAUCAGGAGGAACACCAAUGGCGAAGGCAGCUCGCUGGGACGGUACUGACGCUGAGGCGCGAAAGCGUGGGGGGCAAACAGG
rnacentral:rRNA from 1 species